rnacentral:lncRNA from 1 species
AUGCGGGCACGGGCCGUGCUGGGCGUGGUGCUGGCCGUCACCUGUGCCGGAGCCAUCUUCUCCUUCCUCCUGAGACCCGGGGGCCUCCUUUGGGGAGACACCGAGGAGUCUCAGGUCAGGGGCAUCGUGGAGGCCAGCAGGCUCCUGGUGGACGAGUCCAUCUACGCUGCGAUGAGAAGAAACCUCCACAAAAGGGAAGUCAUUUCCCCAUCGCAACUUCUGUCUUUUUCCAAACUCCCUGAGCCCACGAGCCGAGCUGCAUCCCGGGCGGCGGAGGUCAUGGAGGCCUCGGUGCAGGAGGCGGUGAGGCGGGGUCACCUGCAGUCUGGACCCUCCCGGCUGCCCACAGAUGCUCUCUCGGAGGGGCUGCUGAGCGCGAUCGCAAACCUGUCCGGAUGCCUGCCUCACAUGCUGCCGCCCAGAUGUCCGGCCACCUGCCUGGUCAGCAAGUACAGGCUCAUCACGGGCGCCUGCAACAACAGAGACCACCCGCGCUGGGGAGCCUCCAACACAGCGCUGGCCAGAUGGCUGCCCCCCGCCUACGAGGACGGCAUCAGUGAGCCCCGAGGCUGGAACCCCCACUUCCUGUACAGAGGCUUUCCCCUGCCGCCGGUCCGGGAGGUGACCAGACGCAUCAUACACGCCUCCAAUGAGGCUGUGACGGGGGACGACCGGUACUCUGACCUCCUGACGGCCUGGGGCCAGUACAUCGACCACGACGUGGCCUUCACGCCGCAGAGCGCGGGCCCCCCUGCCCCCGGGGCGGGGGCCGACUGCCAGCUGACCUGCGAGCCAAGCCCAUGCUUUCCCAUACAGCUCCCCGCGAACGCUGCGGGCCCCGCCUGUCUGCCCUUUCACCGCUCCACGGCCGCCUGCGGCACCGGGACCCAAGGCGCCGUGUUCGGCAACCUGUCUGCCGCCAACCCGCGCCAGCAGAUGAACGGGCUGACCUCGUUCCUGGACGCGUCCACCGUGUACGGCAGCUCCGCGGCCUCGGAGCGGCGGCUGCGGAACUGGACCAGCGCCGAGGGGCUGCUGCGCGUCAACGUGCGCUACCGGGACGCGGGCCGCGCCUUCCUGCCCUUCGCGCCGCCGUCCGCGCCCCCGGCUUGCGCUCCCCCGCCCGGCGCGCCCGGAGCCCGCGCACCCUGCUUCCUGGCCGGCGACGGCCGCGCCAGCGAGGUCCCCGCCCUGGCGGCCUUGCACACACUGUGGCUGCGAGAGCACAACCGCCUGGCCUCCGCGCUCAAGGCCCUCAACGCGCACUGGAGCGCGGAUACCGCCUACCAGGAGGCGCGCAAGGUGGUGGGCGCGCUGCACCAGAUCAUCACGCUGCGCGAUUAUGUCCCCAGAAUCCUGGGCCCCGAGGCCUUUGGACGGCACGUGGGCCCCUACAGAGGCUACGACCCCAGCGUGGACCCCUCCGUGUCCAACGUGUUCUCCACGGCGGCCUUCCGCUUCGGCCAUGCCACCAUCCACCCACUGGUGCGGCGGCUGGACGCCCGCUUCCAGGAGCACCCGGGGUCCCGCCUGCCGCUCAGGGACGCCUUCUUCCGGCCCUGGCGGCUCCUCGAGGAAGGGUACAAUGAGUGGCGGCAGUUCUGCGGCUUGUCCAGGCUGGAGACCCGGGCCGACCUGGGCGCGGCCACCGCCAAUGGGAGCAUGGCCGACAGAAUCCUGGCCCUGUACGGGCACCCCGACAACAUCGACGUGUGGCUGGGCGGCCUGGCGGAGAGCUUCCUCCCGGGGGCGCGGACUGGUCCGCUGUUCGCCUGCCUCGUGGGAAAGCAGAUGAAGGCCCUGAGGGAUGGCGACCGGUUCUGGUGGGAGCACCACGGGGUGUUCACCGAGGCCCAACGGCGCGAGCUGGGCCGGCACUCGCUGUCCCGCGUCAUCUGCGACAACACGGGCCUCACCCACGUGCCCCGCGACGCCUUCCGGGUGGGGCAGUGGCCCCAGGACUUCGAGUCAUGUGACCGUAUCCCGGGGAUGGACCUGCGCGCCUGGCGGGAAGCCCCUCCUCCAGACGACGCCUGUGGCUUCCCGGACAACGUGGAGAACGGGGGCUUCCUGCUCUGCAACGAGUCUGGGCGGAGGCUGCUGGUGUUCUCCUGUCAUCACGGAUUCCAGCUCCAAGGGCCUGAGCAGCUCACCUGCACCCGGCGCGGCUGGGACUCCCAGCCCCCGGUCUGUCGAGACAUCAACGAGUGUGAGGAUGGAGUGGACCCCCCCUGCCACGCGUCCGCGCGGUGCAAGAACACCAAGGGUGGCUUCCGGUGUGAGUGCCACGACCCCCACGUACCCGGCGAGGACGGCAGGACCUGUGUGGACUCCGGGAGGCUCCCGCGGGCGUCUGUGGUCUCCCUGGUGCUAGGCGCCGUGCUCAUCUGCGGUCUGGCUGGCCUCACCUGGACGGUGGUUUGCAGGUGGAUGCUCGCCAACCCUAAGUCCUC